GUAAUGCCUCUGUUGAUCUAU
rnacentral:siRNA from 1 species